GACGAACGCUGGCGGCGUGCUUAACACAUGCAAGUCGAACGAAGGGCGAUGGAAGCUUGCUUCUAUCAAUCUUAGUGGCGAACGGGUGAGUAACGCGUAAUCAACCUGCCCUUCAGAGGGGGACAACAGUUGGAAACGACUGCUAAUACCGCAUACGAUCUAAUCUCGGCAUCGAGGAUAGAUGAAAGGUGGCCUCUACAUGUAAGCUAUCACUGAAGGAGGGGAUUGCGUCUGAUUAGCUAGUUGGAGGGGUAACGGCCCACCAAGGCGAUGAUCAGUAGCCGGUCUGAGAGGAUGAACGGCCACAUUGGGACUGAGACACGGCCCAGACUCCUACGGGAGGCAGCAGUGGGGAAUCUUCCGCAAUGGACGAAAGUCUGACGGAGCAACGCCGCGUGAGCGAUGACGGCCUUCGGGUUGUAAAGCUCUGUUAAUCGGGACGAAAGGCCUUCUUGCGAAUAGUGAGAAGGAUUGACGGUACCGGAAUAGAAAGCCACGGCUAACUACGUG
rnacentral:rRNA from 1 species